rnacentral:rRNA from 1 species
CAGUCGCCGCGGGAAUACGUAGGGCGCAAGCGUUGUCCGGAAUUAUUGGGCGUAAAGAGCUCGUAGGCGGUCUGUCGCGUCUGGUGUGAAAUCCCGAGGCUCAACCUCGGGCUUGCAUCGGGUACGGGCAGACUAGAGUGCGGUAGGGGAGACUGGAAUUCCUGGUGUAGCGGUGGAAUGCGCAGAUAUCAGGAGGAACACCGAUGGCGAAGGCAGGUCUCUGGGCCGCAACUGACGCUGAGGAGCGAAAGCAUGGGGAGCGAACAGGAUUAGAUACCCGUGUAGUCCCUGUCUCUUAUAC